AUUGAACGCUGGCGGCAUGCUUUACACAUGCAAGUCGAACGGUAACAGGGACUUCGGUCUGCUGACGAGUGGCGAACGGGUGAGUAACAUAUCGGAACGUGCCCAGUAAUGGGGGAUAGCUCGGCGAAAGCCGGAUUAAUACCGCAUACGCCCUGAGGGGGAAAGUGGGGGAUCUUCGGACCUCACGUUAUUGGAGCGGCCGAUAUCAGAUUAGCUAGUUGGUGGGGUAAAGGCCUACCAAGGCAACGAUCUCUAGCUGGUCUGAGAGGACGAUCAGCCACACUGGGACUGAGACACGGCCCAGACUCCUACGGGAGGCAGCAGUGGGGAAUAUUGGACAAUGGGCGAAAGCCUGAUCCAGCAAUGCCGCGUGUGUGAAGAAGGCCUGAGGGUUGUAAAGCACUUUCAAUCGUGAAGAAAGUUGCAGGCUAAUACCCUGUGACCUUGACGUUAACGAUACAAGAAGCACCGGCUAACUCCGUGCCAGCAGCCG
rnacentral:rRNA from 1 species